GACGAACGCUGGCGGCGUGCUUAACACAUGCAAGUCGAACGAAGAGCGAUGGAAGCUUUCUUCUAUCAAUCUUAGUGGCGAACGGGUGAGUAACGCGUAAUCAACCUGCCCUUCAGAGGGGGACAACAGUUGGAAACGACUGCUAAUACCGCAUACGAUCUAAUCUCGGCAUCGAGGAUAGAUGAAAGGUGGCCUCUACAUGUAAGCUAUCACUGAAGGAGGGGAUUGCGUCUGAUUAGCUAGUUGGAGGGGUAACGGCCCACCAAGGCGAUGAUCAGUAGCCGGUCUGAGAGGAUGAACGGCCACAUUGGGACUGAGACACGGCCCAGACUCCUACGGGAGGCAGCAGUGGGGAAUCUUCCGCAAUGGACGAAAGUCUGACGGAGCAACGCCGCGUGAGCGAUGACGGCCUUCGGGUUGUAAAGCUCUGUUAAUCGGGACGAAAGGCCUUCUUGCGAAUAGUGAGAAGGAUUGACGGUACCGGAAUAGAAAGCCCCGGCUAACUACGU
rnacentral:rRNA from 1 species